CACGCCCUAAACUAUGAUAACUGGCUUUCCGGAGUAUCGACCCUCUGGGAGGCGAAGCUAACGCGUUAAGUUAUCCGCCUGGGUAGUACGGCCGCAAGGCUAAAACUCAAAGGAAUAGACGGGGGCUUGCACAAGCGGUGGAGCGUGUGGCUUAAUUCGUCGCUAAGCGAAGAACCUUACCAGGGCUAGAAAUCCUACUGCAUACUUUGGGAAACCUUAGUAGCCUUCGAGGGUGUAGGACAGGUGA
rnacentral:rRNA from 1 species